rnacentral:rRNA from 1 species
GACGAACGCUGGCGGCGUGCUUAACACAUGCAAGUCGAACGGAAAGGCCUGUCCUUCCUUGUGUUGGACGGGUACUCGAGUGGCGAACGGGUGAGUAACACGUGAGUGAUCUGCCCCCAACUUGGGUAUAAGCCUGGGAAACUGGGUCUAAUUCCCGAUAGGACUGCAGGGUGGUGCCUGUGGUGGAAAACGAUUUUCUAGUGGUUGGGGAUGAGCUCGCGGCCUAUCAGCUUGUUGGUGGGGUAAUGGCCUACCAAGGCGGCGACGGGUAGCCGGCCUGAGAGGGUGGACGGCCACAUUGGGACUGAGAUACGGCCCAGACUCCUACGGGAGGCAGCAGUGGGGAAUAUUGCACCAUGGGCGGAAGCCUGAUGCAGCGACGCCGCGUGGGGGAUGACGGCCUUCGGGUUGUAAACUCCUUUCGACCGCGAGGAAGCCGCCUGGUUGGAAGGGUGGUGACGGUAGUGGUAGAAGAAGCACCGGCUAACUACGUG